rnacentral:lncRNA from 1 species
CUUUUAAUCAUGCUUUUCUUUGUCUAAUGUGGUCUCCUUUUUGUUUGUAUUGUAGUCCUGUAAUAUUGUGUUGUCAUUUCAAUGUUAUAUUUAACUUUGCCAUUAAAGUGCGAGGUUUGGCAUGCCAUAAAACCAGGUUCAACCCACCACUUUUAUUCCCCUUUAAAAGUGUCCUGUACCAAGUCAGGAAGAUGGCCAUUGUUAUAAUAUUGUUCGUUUCUGUGUGUGUUGCAUUUUAACGUUGAGUCGUUUGUGUUUUCUCUUAUUUUUUAGAUAAGACGUGGCACGGUACUUAUCUAUCCCAAAUUCUUGUAUUUGGUUUUGAUGUUAUAUUUGUUAUUCUCGUGGUGUUUUGUCUGUUGCUUGGUCCGUUUCUGUGUGUGUUGCGUUUCGGUGUUGUGUCGUUGUUCUCUUAUAUUUAAUGCGUUU